rnacentral:rRNA from 1 species
GAGUUUGAUCCUGGCUCAGGGUGAACGCUGGCGGUAUGCUUAACACAUGCAAGUCGAACGAAGGUUUUUAACUUUAGUGGCGAACGGGUGCGUAAUACGUGGGAAUCUCCCCUUAGGAGGAGGAUAACUGCUGGAAACGGCAGCUAACACUCCAUAUGUCGAGAGAUGAAGCAAACAUGGGUAAAUAAACGUGCAUACGUCUGUUUAGAAUGUUUCCUAAGGAUGAGCCCACGCCUGAUUAGCUGGUUGGUGAGGUAAAGGCUUACCAAGGCCACGAUCAGUAGCUGGUUUGAGAGAGCGAUCAGCCACACUGGGACUGAGACACGGCCCAGACUUCUCCGGAAGGCAGCAGUGAGGAAUUUUCCGCAAUGGGCGAAAGCCUGACGGAGCAAUACCGCGUGAGGGAUGAAGGAUUUUGAUCUGUAAACCUCUUUUCUUAAGAAAGAAGUUCUGACGGUACUUGAGGAAUAAGCAUCGGCUAACUCCGUGCCAGCAGCCGCGGUAAUACGGGGGAUGCAAGCGUUAUCCGGAAUAAUUGGGCGUAAAGCGCCUGUAGGUUGUUUAAUAAGUCUGUUGUUAAAGACUAGGGCUUAACCCUAGAAGAGCAGUGGAAACUACUAGACUAGAGUAUGGCAGGGGUAGAGAGAAUUUCUAGUGUAGCGGUGAAAUGCGUAGAUAUUAGAAAGAAUACCGGUGGCGAAGGCGCUCUACUGGACUAUUACUGACACUCAGAGGCGAAAGCUAGGGUAGCAGAAGGGAUUAGAUACCCCUGUAGUCCUAGCCGUAAACGAUGGAUACUAGAUGUUGUGAUUUAUUUACAGUGUCGUAGCUAACGCGUUAAGUAUCCCGCCUGGGGAGUACGCUCGCAAGGGUGAAACUCAAAGGAAUUGACGGGGGCCCGCACAAGCGGUGGAGCAUGUGGUUUAAUUCGAUGCAACGCGAAGAACCUUACCAGGGUUUGACAUACUACAAAUUCUUUAGAAAUCGAGAAGUACCUUCGGGGAUGUAGAUACAGGUGGUGCAUGGCUGUCGUCAGCUCGUGUCGUGAGAUGUUGGGUUAAGUCCCGUAACGAGCGCAACCCUUAUUUCUAGUUACUAGUUAGCUAGGUUUUUUAGAAAGACUGCCGGUGACAAACCGGAGGAAGGUGAGGAUGACGUCAAGUCAGCAUGCCCCUUAUACCCUGGGCUACACACGUGCUACAAUGGUUAAGACAAAAGGUUGCUAGCUUGCGAGAGUCGGCUAAUCCUGUAAACUUAGCCUAAGUUCAGAUUGUAGGCUGCAACUCGCCUGCAUGAAGUUGGAAUCGCUAGUAAUCGCUGGUCAGCAUUACAGCGGUGAAUUUGUUCUCGGGCCUUGUACACACCGCCCGUCACACCAUGGAAGCUAGUUCUGCCCAAAAACGUUGAUUUAACUAUACUUUUCUAUACUUUUAUAGAUAAGUAAAGAGGAUCCCGGCUAAGGCAGGACCGGUGACUGGGGUGAAGUCGUAACAAGGUAACC